rnacentral:rRNA from 1 species
UACGAAGGGGGCUAGCGUUGCUCGGAAUCACUGGGCGUAAAGCGCACGUAGGCGGAUUGUUAAGUCAGGGGUGAAAUCCUGGAGCUCAACUCCAGAACUGCCUUUGAUACUGGCGAUCUCGAGUCCGGGAGAGGUGAGUGGAACUGCGAGUGUAGAGGUGGAAAUUCGUAGAUAUUCGCAAGAACACCAGUGGCGAAGGCGGCUCACUGGCCCGGUACUGACGCUGAGGUGCGAAAGCGUGGGGAGCAACAGG